CCAAGAACUCAGACAGUAGACCUAGCAAACUUGAUUCCUUUUAAGGAUUCAGGUUAUUCUGAGUCACUCACUAAACUGAUCCGGGUUGUGCGAGUCAUUUGAAUCACUUGAGUCAGUGUUGAUUUAUG